CGAAGGGAAACAGAAGAGAGAAAAGGAAGGACGUCAAACCCUCCCGUUAACUUCCGUACACCGUAACUUCUCCGUUCGAACUCCGAUCGCUGCACCGUUUGUGGCCACGCGUUCACCGCGUUGAGCUCUACAUUUCUACCGGAACAAUUUCAUAGGAUCCAAUUAGCUUGAGAAAAACGUUCACUCUUGCUUAUGUGAAGCUUGGGUAAGGUUGAAAAUAGAUAAUUGGAGCUUGAAAUUGUGAAUACUGGAACUUGGAGGAAGCGGAUUAGUUGAGGUUUUGAGGGCUGUGUUCUUUAGGAAAAUUUU